rnacentral:rRNA from 1 species
ACGUAGAUAACGUGCCCUUGAGUUGGGAAUAACACUUCGAAAGAGGUGCUAAUACCGAAUACGUUUAUUUUAAUGCUUUUAAAAUAAAGAAAGCCGGGCAACUGGCGCUCAAGGAUCGGUCUGCGGCCCAUCAGCUUGUUGGUAAGGUAACGGCUUACCAAGGCUACGACGGGUAGCUGGUCUGAGAGGAUGAUCAGCCACACUGGAACUGAGACACGGUCCAGACUCCUACGGGAGGCAGCAGUGGGGAAUAUUGGACAAUGGGCGAAAGCCUGAUCCAGCAAUGCCGCGUGAGUGAUGAAGGCCCUAGGGUUGUAGAGCUCUGUCAGGAGGAACGAAACCUUUAGUUAACAGCUAAAGCUGACGGUACCUCCAAAGGAAGCACCGGCUAACUCUGUGCCAGCAGCCGCGGUAAUACAGAGGGUGCAAGCGUUGUUCGGAAUUACUGGGCGUAAAGCGCGUGUAGGCGGUU